ACCUGCCUUUCUCUUUCUUUCCCUUUCCUCUACUGCAGGCGAAGGGAGGGGAAGUGUGACCAGAGCGGAGGAUGAGAAAUGACCCGUGCGGAGAGGAUGGGGUCCUGGGGAGAAGAAUGGGACAGCCGGAAGAGGAACCAGAGAAAAGAAGGAAGUGGGAGAGGGAUGAGUGGAGGGGGACCACCAAACUUUCCACCGAAAAGAAAGAAGGAAUAUGCAGAGAGCCUAAUAAACCAAUCCAGCUGUAGGGGCAUCCCCAGAACAGCAAACGUUUCCAGGCAUUUCACCUGUGAUGACCUACACACCAAGACUGACCUUGCUGCCUCUUAGAUGGACCCUGCUGCCUCUUUCUUUUCAGUUAUGAGUG